rnacentral:siRNA from 1 species
GGAGCAGUUGCAGAUGAUUGACAC